rnacentral:misc_RNA from 1 species
GAUGAAGAACGCAGCGAAAUGCGAUACGUAGUGUGAAUUGCAGAAUUCAGUGAAUCAUCGAACCUUUGAACGCACAUUGCACCUCUCGGUAUUCCGGGAGGUAUGCCUGUUCGAGCGUCAUUUGUACCCUCAAGCUCUGCUUGGUGUUGGGUGUUUGUUCCGCCUCUGUGUGUGAACUCGCCUCAAAACAAUUGGCAGCCGGCGUACUUGUUUCGGAGCGCAGCACAUUUUGCGAUCCAGAUCAACGUACAGCGGCAUCCAAGAAGCCUUAUUUAACGCUCUUGACCUCGGAUCAGGUAGGGAUACCCGCUGAACUUAAGCAUAUCAAUAAGCGGAGGA